GAUUGAGAAAGUUCUCCCAGCUAUUCGAUCUAAAUGGUCGCGUUCUAGUGCAACGGAACCCAUCUACCUUCAACAAGAUAAUGCAAAACCUCACAUUAGUCCAUUGGAUGCUGAUUUUGUACAAGCUGCAAGGCAAUACAAUCUCUUCAACAUCAAGAGGCACCGAGAACUAUUGAUGAGCUUGUUCGUGCCGUGGAGAAGUCAUUCGAAGAAAUGUCAUCGGAUAAUCUCAACCGUGUGUUUUUAUCAUUGCAAGCUUGCAUGAUUGAAGUGAUGAAGGUUAAUGGAGGCAACAAUUACAAGUUGCCACACAUAGGAAAAGGCCAAAUGUUGCGGGAAGGUUCCAUUGUUUCUAGCCUAGAAUGUGAGCCUCAUAUUCUACAAAAUGCCUUGGUUCAUUUACGACAGUGAACCAAUUAGUUACAUCAAGGUAACAAGGCUGCUUAAAUUUUGUAUUUUUGCAAAGUGGUUCAGUCAGCUAAGAAGUUUUUGAUGGCACUCUUCAAGUCAAGUUUGAAAUUGUUGAAUAGAGAGAAGGCUAUAUGCAGCACUGUCUUUUUGUGAAUCUGUAAAUAUUUGUAUGGGUGUUCAAAUGAAGGGGAAAAAAAAACAAAGGAGAAGUGAAAAUAGGCGUUCAUAGUCAAUCAACUCUGUAAAAUGUAUUUUGCCUUUUGGAAAUGAAAAAAAA